rnacentral:rRNA from 1 species
GCCUGACGCAGCGACGCCGCGUGGGGGAUGAAGGUCUUCGGAUUGUAAACCUCUUUCGGGAGGGAAGAUGGGAUGGGGUAACCCAUUCGGACGGUACCUCCAGAAGCAGCCACGGCUAACUUCGUGCCAGCAGCCGCGGUAAUACGAAGGUGGCAAGCGUUGUUCGGAUUUACUGGGCGUACAGGGAGCGUAGGCGGUUGGAUAAGCCCUCCGUGAAAUCUCCCAGGCUUAAACCUGGAAAGUGCAGAGGGGGACUGUUCAGCUAGAGGAUGGGAGAGGAGCGCGGAAUUCCCGGUGUAGCGGUGAAAUGCGUAGAGAUCGGGAGGAAGGCCGGUGGCGAAGGCGGCGCUCUGGAACAUUUCUGACGCUGAGGCUCGAAAGCGUGGGGAGCAAACAGGAUUAGAUACCCUGGUAGUCCACGCCUUAAACGAUGGAUACUAAGUGUCGGCGGGUUACCGCCGGUGCCGCAGCUAACGCAGUAAGUAUCCCGCCUGGGAAGUACGGCCGCAAGGUUG